GCGAGAAGUCCACUGAACCUUAUCAUUUAGAGGAAGGAGAAGUCGUAACAAGGUUUCCGUAGGUGAACCUGCGGAAGGAUCAUUGUCGAAUCCUUAGCGGAAUGACCAGAGAA
rnacentral:rRNA from 2 species